rnacentral:rRNA from 1 species
UGGGGAAUUUUGGACAAUGGGGGAAACCCUGAUCCAGCCAUCCCGCGUGUGCGAUGAAGGCCUUCGGGUUGUAAAGCACUUUUGGCAGGAAAGAAACGUCAUGGGUUAAUACCCCGUGAAACUGACGGUACCUGCAGAAUAAGCACCGGCUAACUACGUGCCAGCAGCCGCGGUAAUACGUAGGGUGCAAGCGUUAAUCGGAAUUACUGGGCGUAAAGCGUGCGCAGGCGGUUCGGAAAGAAAGAUGUGAAAUCCCAGAGCUCAACUUUGGAACUGCAUUUUUAACUACCGGGCUAGAGUGUGUCAGAGGGAGGUGGAAUUCCGCGUGUAGCAGUGAAAUGCGUAGAUAUGCGGAGGAACACCGAUGGCGUAGGCAGCCUCCUGGGAUAACACUGACGCUCAUGCACGAAAGCGUGGGGAGCAAACAGG